GUCUACGGCCAUACCACCCUGAAUAAGUCCGAUCCCGUCUGAUCUCGGAAGCUAAGCAGGGUCGGGCCUGGUUAGUACUUGGAUGGGAGGCCAUCUAGGAAGACCAGGUGCUGUAGGCA
rfam:Pteropus alecto contig50335, whole genome shotgun sequence.